GAUGAACGCUGGCGGCGUGCCUAAUACAUGCAAGUCGAGCGAAUGGAUUAAGAGCUUGCUCUUAUGAAGUUAGCGGCGGACGGGUGAGUAACACGUGGGUAACCUGCCCAUAAGACUGGGAUAACUCCGGGAAACCGGGGCUAAUACCGGAUAAUAUUUUGAACUGCAUGGUUCAAACUUGAAAGGCGGAUUCGGCUGUCAUUUAUGGAUGGACCCGGGUCGCAUUAGCUAGUUGGGGAGGUAACGGCUCACCAAGGCAACGAUGCGUAGCCGACCUGAGAGGGUGAUCGGCCACACUGGGACUGAGACACGGCCCAGACUCCUACGGGAGGCAGCAGUAGGGAAUCUUCCGCAAUGGACGAAAGUCUGACGGAGCAACGCCGCGUGAGUGAUGAAGGCUUUCGGGUCGUAAAACUCUGUUGUUAGGGAAGAACAAGUGCUAGUUGAAUAAGCUGGCACCUUGACGGUACCUAACCAGAAAGCCACGGCUAACUACGUGCCAGCCGCCGCGGUAA
rnacentral:rRNA from 1 species